rnacentral:rRNA from 1 species
UACGUAGGGUGCAAGCGUUGUCCGGAAUUAUUGGGCGUAAAGAGCUCGUAGGCGGUCUGUCGCGUCGGCUGUGAAAACCCGGAGCUCAACUCCGGGCCUGCAGUCGAUACGGGCAGACUGGAGUUCGGCAGGGGAGACUGGAAUUCCUGGUGUAGCGGUGAAAUGCGCAGAUAUCAGGAGGAACACCGGUGGCGAAGGCGGGUCUCUGGGCCGAUACUGACGCUGAGAAGCGAAAGCAUGGGGAGCGAACAGG